GACGAACGCUGGCGGCAUGCCUAACACAUGCAAGUCGAACGAGACCUUCGGGUCUAGUGGCGCACGGGUGCGUAACGCGUGGGAAUCUGCCCUUGGGUUCGGAAUAACUCAGAGAAAUUUGAGCUAAUACCGGAUGAUGACGUAAGUCCAAAGAUUUAUCGCCCAAGGAUGAGCCCGCGUAGGAUUAGCUAGUUGGUGAGGUAAAGGCUCACCAAGGCGACGAUCCUUAGCNGGUCUGAGAGGAUGAUCAGCCACACUGGGA
rnacentral:rRNA from 1 species